GUGUCAGCAGCCGCGGUAAUACGGGGGGGGCAAGCGUUGUUCGGAAUUACUGGGCGUAAAGGGUGCGUAGGCGGCUUUUUAAGUCGGAUGUGAAAACUCUGGGCUCAACCCAGAGACUGCAUCCGAAACUGGAGAGCUUGGGUUCUGGAGGGGAAAGCGGAAUUCCUGGUGUAGCAGUGAAAUGCGUAGAUAUCAGGAGGAACACCGGUGGCGAAGGCGGCUUUCUGGACAGAUACCGACGCUGAGGCACGAAAGCUAGGGGAGCAAACAGGAUUAGAUACCCUCGUAGUCC
rnacentral:rRNA from 1 species